rnacentral:rRNA from 1 species
UACGUAGGGAGCAAGCGUUGUCCGGAUUUAUUGGGCGUAAAGGGCUCGUAGGCGGUCUGUUGCGUCGGGAGUGAAAACUCAGGGCUUAACCCUGAGCCUGCUUCCGAUACGGGCAGACUAGAGGUAUGCAGGGGAGAACGGAAUUCCUGGUGUAGCGGUGGAAUGCGCAGAUAUCAGGAGGAACACCGGUGGCGAAGGCGGGAUCCGUGGCCAGUACUGACGCUGAGGAGCGAAAGCGUGGGGAGCAAACAGG